GCCUGGUCCAAAGGUAGUGUUCACAGUCAGUUGCAGAUCUGAUGCCUCAUUCUGCUCUUUCCUUCCUUCUCAAUACUGCACUUGACCAGUCUUAA
ensembl:Y_RNA Y_RNA Y RNA